AUCUUCAGGGCAGGGUGAGAUUCCCGACCGGUGGUAUAGUCCACGAAAGCAUAGCUUUGAUUUGGUGAAAUUCCAAAACCGACAGUAAAGUCUGGAUGAAAGAAGAUA
rnacentral:ncRNA from 1 species